CAAAAGUGGUUGGAAAACGAGGAAUUCGGGGCAUGGCUGCAGCCUGUCGACAGGUACCUGUUGGUGGCAUUAAAAUUAUUUCUAAGAGCAUUAAAAAGCAUUAGAGUUAUUAAUUCCUGUAUAAACCCUGCACCCAGACCCUGAUACACUAUUAUGUUGGUAAUGGUGCCUAAUAUAACAUAUUUCUAUUGUAAUCUUACACAAUACUUCAGUUAUCACACAUUAUACAUCCAAUUUUUGAAGCCAUUCAGGUGCAGCAUCUUUCUUUUCUAGCACCUUCUCUCCCUCUAUCUCUCUCCUCACGGCUCCUCCUGCUGCUCGGCCCAAAGUUUGGUUACACUAAGCCUUUUCCUCCUUAUCCUGUUUUCCCUUUAGUGAAAAAUAGAAACACAGUGAAGUAUUGAAAAUGAUAGAAAAGAAAACGAUAUGCAUUUCAACAUCAUGUUUGAAUUAGUUUUAUUAGAAAAUGAAAUUAUACUGAAUUAGUUUCCCACGUUCCAGAGGAGCCCAGUGUCAAAGAAUUAAAUAGUAAAACUAGCUAUUAACAAGUAUAAAUAUUAAAAAAAGAACAUGCUAAUUUAUUCAUGUCAAUGCCAUCUGCAAUGAGCAACAUCCAACACUGAGAAAUUAAAUGCUGAGUAAAGUUUCAUUUAUCGCACCGUUAUCACAACUCAUUAAGCUGUUCUCCGCCUACAUUAGCAGCUCGAUGUGCUCCUCUUCAAGUGACUGAUGGACUCAUGAGGCGGUGGCUUGUAUGUGGCAGUUACUGUAGCGACAAUGCGUGCUGACUCAGGAUGAUUGAACAGCUACUUUUUUAUUAGUUAGUUGCUCUAGUUUCGCUCUUCAAAUAUAAAACAACUCACAGGUUAGUGAGAGUACAAGAUCAUUGUCUUACAACCAGUUUCACUGUAAUGUAUUUUAGUUUUUUAUCACAACUUGCAAUAAAUAAAUGAAUGAAAUUCUAAGGACAGGACCUCGGAGUCCUCAAUGUUAGUGAUGGCCCUGUGUGUGUUCAAUACUUUUUCCCUGUGCCAUUCCACUAUUACACAUUAUUUAAUUACUGGACAUAUGGUUUGAUUUCUCUGUAUGUGUGGAUUGCAUGGAUUGCUACCAACAUCUGGUUAAAAUGUCAUGUCAUUAGCAACUCUAUAUAUUUACAGAGAAAAAUGGCGGCUAAAGAGCUUAAUGUUUUGCCACCUUUCCUUCAUGGCUUGUUCAUAUGCGAACAGGGCUAUAAAUCAGCAGGGGCUUCCAGAAACCACCAGAUGUAUGAAGUGAGCAGGUAACAGUUGUCCUGUCAGCAGUUUCUCCCACCUGAGCCGUGGAUCUGUGCAGCUCCUGCAAAGACUCUUAGCUGCUUCUUAAGUUAAGAUCCUGGUAGCCUGGCCUGUCAGCUGGGGUGGAAAACCAUGAAAAGUCUCUUUUGAGGUUUUGAGGUUAUAGUUUGUGUACUUUCUGUAAGCUGUUUUAGGUUUGGGAUCAUUCUUUGUUCAUUAGCUCUGCUUCAUGUCUUUGCACAAGUCUACCCUGCCUGCUUUCUUCAUCAAGUUACUUUUUAAUUAAUGUUCUCUAAAGCAGCGGUCCCCAACCUUUUUUGCGCCACGGACCGGUUAUGUCUGACAAUAUUUUCAUGGACCGGCCUUUAAAGUGUGGGGGUAAAUACGAUCAAAUAAAAUGAUACAACUGGCAUAAAAUCAAAUACAAACAGCAUAAAAAUAAAACUCACAAUUAUGUUGAAUUAGUGGGAGCCCUGAGCUUAUUUCUCCAAAACAAACCGGUCCCAUCUAGGCGUAAUCGGAGACAAUGACACGCGAAUUGUGCCCCUGAUGUCCAGUCUGCUCCACAGCUUUGUUUUGGUCGCUGUAACCGCAGAAAAUCCCGCUUCACAAAGAUAGGAUGUUAUAGAUAGGAUGCGUCUUGACCUGAAUUAACCUGUGUCAAGAGGCACAGAUGCACCGACUGAUGUAAUUUGGAGAUAAUACCCCAAUGUCUUAUAUUUUUCAAAAUAAAACAUCACUCAGACUCUGAUCGUCGAUAAAUUAUAAAUAUAUAUUUUUUUCUGUGCGGCCCGGUACCAAAUGACCGACGGACCGGUACCGGUCCGCGGCCCGGUGGUUGGGGACCGCUGCUCUAAAGAACCUCUCUAAACCUCUGAAGAGGAUUUGAAUUUGAUUUUAUCUAAAAUUAGGGCUGUCCAGAAAAAUGCAUGUUGCACUUUUCAAAUUUAGUUUUUGCACUCCUAAAACCACACAUCACAUUCAUUCCACUUUACAAUCAUUCCCUAAUUUAGUUGGUCUAUCAUAAAAAUAAAGCACAUUUAAGAUUUUGGUUGUUGUAAAAAGGAGAAAUUAAAUAGAUGAUUUUGUAAGGUGCUGUAGUGAGAAAGUUUGAAAUGAAAGGACCCAGCUGGCCUACAAGCCACAUGCAUAUCUGCUCAGAUGUAUCCUGUUAACACAUUUAGUCCUCACAUAUUGAACUCUUUACUCCUAGAUGAACAGAUUUAUGUUCAUGAGAUGAUUGAAUGGUUUCACUGGAUUCCAGUUAAAACCAAAUUAUUCUACUGUACAAACAAGCAAACACUUUACAUUCAGCCAAAGUGCAUAAAGAGUUUUGUUUUUAGGUCAGAAGCAUUAAGAGCUUGCAUGCUGUGUAGCUCUUAUGUCUGCACCAUUUCCUACACUUGAGUCACCUUUUUAUUUUCAACCCUUAUUGUGAUGCAUACAGAUAGAUGAAUGGCUCUUUAUGCCUUACUUGCAUAGGUUUUGCUAAAUGUGUUCUUUAGUGAAUGUGAAAUUGAUUUUUUUAUUAUUAUUAUAAUUGUAGUGUAUGUCACAUGUUUACUAAUAUCUGUUUUUUAUUUAAUAAAUUAUUAUUCAUGCCUGAUCUCA